rnacentral:rRNA from 1 species
UACAGAGGCCUCGAGCGUUAGGCGGAAUCACUGGGCUUAAAGCGUGUGUAGGUGGAUGCCUAAGUGCCUUGUGAAAUCCCACGGCUUAACCGUGGAAUUGCCGGGCAUACUGGGUGUCUUGAGCCACUCAGGGGCUACCGGAACAAAUGGUGGAGCGGUGAAAUGCGUAGAUAUCAUUUGGAACGCCAAUGGUGAAAACAGGUAGCUGGGGGUGUGCUGACACUGAGACACGAAAGCCAGGGGAGCAAACGGG